CGGAGUUCAUUGAUCGUAAAGUUCAUACGAUCGGCUACGAUCAACGAUCAAUCGUAACUUUACAUUGGUAUUGUCUAAUUCAGUUCAUUAUAUGAAGACCGGAUGGUGAACGAUGAACUGAAAUCAUUCAUGAAGAUUGCGUAUUGUUUAUGCAAAACGAUAGUGAAACUAUCGUUAAUAAUAUUAUCAAAUUUAAAUCAAACUCCAUAAUAAUGCAUAUAUUUUAACAAAGUUUUAUGUCUUUUGUUUAAAACAUUAAAGAAGCAUUAAAUUUCACGAAAAAUAUCUACUAUUGAAGAAAAUAGCGUGAGAAAAUGGUACAUGUAACUCGAGUAACAAAACGCAAUUAACGAAUUUAACCAAGGGCUAUUUGGACUAUUUGGUAAUCUCCCUGUUGUCUGUGUAGGCUAGUGUCAAAAUAACGGGUUAUCCUAUUAGUCUGUGGUGAAACAUAGCAUAUUAAUAACCUGUGGAUUAGAAAUUUUAAUUUAACAAAACAAAACAAAAUUUUUAUUUUUCAGAUUUUAAAGAGAAUUUAGAAAUUGAGCAAAGUUUUACAAAAUUAUAGUGAUCUUAGGAGCAAAGUUUACUUCGUUAUUGUUAUUUGUUAAUCAAAAAUAUAAAAGUAAACAAAAAAGAAAACUACCUCUAUCUAAUUUUGUCGAUGUCCAUUUCUUAAGAAGUUUCUCAUUAAAACAACGCUUAACUCAGGCAAGGCAGGGCUAAUGUGGUUAGCGUAACUACAAGUGGUUAACUUACAGUUAGCCAACUGAAGAACAAUCAACAAUGCCCGAUUAAUAAGUGAUCGCGCUGCUUGUCUACUACAUGUCCCUGUACUAGUUAUAGCAGUAAUUUCUUUGUUGGGAAGUAUUUAGCACAUCCGGGCUGCGCAAAAGGAGAGGACUAAAUUGAUUAUUAUGAACAGACCAUUAUGAUGAACCACUGAUAUUGACUCAGAGACAUGAAGAUGAGUGCUUUGACAACAAGACUGACUAGCUGAGCCAGCUUAAGAAUUAUGUGGUGUGUGUGUGUCUAAUUCUAGGAACUCUCUAUGUCAGCCAUCCAUCUAUAUUCUUACUCAUUUUUGUUAAUUAUAAAAUAAAUUUGAUUAUUUAGUGUGUAACUUCAUUAUACCUAUCCUGCUAGCUGUUAGAAAGAUAGCAUCUGUAAUAAUUUAUUUGCGGUAAAACAUAUUUAAAAAUAAACAUGCUUUAACAUUUAAGUAUGGCCAAUAUGUUGUCAAGUACAGUGGGCAGGGCUGAAUCCAUGAUUGAUGGCUGAUCCAUGAUGAUGACUUGUUUUUCUGAUUUAAGAAAAUAUACUAAUCAUCAAAACAGUGUCUGCAAGUACUGUACAGGCCGAAUGUUUGGAUGAGAAGUAUAUAUUUGAUUAUUUUUAAGCUGUGUGGGUUUAAAAAAAUGUCUAACUGAAAGUCUACGUUUACUGUAUUUAUUAUUAUUAUAAUAAAUAAACUUAAAAAAAUCUUUUUUUUAUAAACUUCCAACCCCUAUUUCACCCUCAGAGGUGUCAUUUUCAUAAUUCUUAGAAUACUAGUAGUCAAGAUACUGUAAUAAAAGAUACAGUUUGUGAGAUUGUAGGGGUAAACACUGGACCUACUGAACCAAUGUUGAAGAUUAUUUUACCAAUAAAAAUCCACAUUUGAGUAUUAUAGGCCAUGUAUUCCUUCCCACGGGAACAGGAAUUAUGUGGGUGAAACUGCAGGGGGGUGAACAUACACAGGUAUUAUAAAUGUAUUUUUUACAACUACACUUUUUUGAAUAAUUUAUUUAAUUAUUGUAAUGGUAAAAAAAAAUAUUAAUAGUAAAAUGUUAAACUGAAAGCUUUAGUUUUGGAUAGUACUACAAAAAACAAACUCAGCGAAGUAAGUAUUCUUUUAUUUUCAAAUAUCAAAGACCAAAUCAAAUAUAAAUAUUUUGAUAAUACACACACAUUUAUGAUUUGACCAGAUAACAGGGUCAUCAGUACAAUGUCCUAUCAGCUAAAAGCCUUUGCCAUCUCUUCUUCAGCACACCAAUAUGUUAUUCCACUGUAUUGCAGGUGCUUUUUGCAAUAUUGGAGUCUGCAGUUAUAGGGCAUAUUCCAAAUAUC